UACAUACUGUGCGAACGUUAUUCGGAUUCAUUGGGCGUAAAGGGUGCGUAGGUGGCGCCGUAAGUCGGGUGUGAAAUUUCGGAGCUUAACUCCGAAACUGCAUUCGAUACUGCGGUGCUUGAGGACUGGAGAGGAGACUGGAAUUCAUGGUGUAGCAGUGAAAUGCGUAGAGAUCAUGAGGAAGACCAGUGGCGAAGGCGGGUCUCUGGACAGUUCCUGACACUGAGGCACGAAGGCCAGGGGAGCAAACGGG
rnacentral:rRNA from 1 species